GAUGAAGAACGUAGCGAAAUGCGAUACUUGGUGUGAAUUGCAGAAUCCCGUGAACCAUCGAGUCUUUGAACGCAAGUUGCGCCCGAAGCCAUCAGGUUGAGGGCACGUCUGCCUGGGCGUCACAUAUCGUUGCCCAAUGCCUAUUGCAGUGCAAUAGGAAUUUCUAGGGCGAAUGAUGGCUUCCCGUGAGCGUUGUUGCCUCGCGGUUGGUUGAAAAUCGAGUCCUUGGUAGGGUGUGCCAUGGUAGAUGGUGGUCGAGUUAGAACGAUACCGAUCAUGUGCAUGCUCCCCAAAAUAUGGCCUCUAUGACCCACACGCGUCUUUUGACGCUCAUGACGAGACCUCAGGUCAGGCGGGGCUACCCGCUGAAUUUAAGCAUAUCCAUAAGCGGAGGA
rnacentral:misc_RNA from 1 species